rnacentral:lncRNA from 1 species
AGGCAAGCCAGUCCCAUCCUUCCCAGCAACUGGGACUUUCCGGGCAGGGCUCCCCAGCGCGGGUUCAGCUAAUUAAGGAAGCAAUUAGCCUCCCCUGAGGCUAUUCAUGCUUCCUCACCCACAGUUCUCAGGUUCUGUGAGACCAGAGCCUCAGUCUCCCGUGAGCAGAGGGUGUGUGUGUGGCUGCCACUAUUCUGCAGACACGCUGGCUCCACCCCAGAGAGUUGCAGGGCCAGGAAAUCUGCAUUUAAACAGACCCUGGCUCUCACACUUCGGAAACUGCCCGAAGCACCUCUCAAAUAUGGGACAGGUGCUUAGGCCGAAAAUCAGGAAUCUCUUGAAUGAAUGCAUGAAGGUGGAGCCCUUUCCCUUAAUGCGCAGGUGAAAAGGGCACCUCGGUGGAUUCUACUAAAUUUAAUAGAAGACCCAAGACGGGGUGGGGGAGACGUGCUUUGUGCUCACCUGGCUGGUUCAUGGGCAGGUGGCCUGGAGGACCCAGCCCUGGCAGCUGUGGGGUAGCUCCAGCCUGGGCCGGACAGCUUCUUUCAUCGCAGGCACCACUGCGGACAUUGCUGGGAGGAAGAGGAGGGAGAAGCGACGGGCUUCAUUAGGAACGGAAAUGCCAAGAUUAGUGAAAGAAUGAAAAGAGUCAAAACAGCCUAGAAAAGGCUUCAAUGAUCCUCAAACUGGAUGAUCGAAUCCCGAAUAAUUGGGAAUCAACAGUAAAGGCCAAAGCUUUCGAUGGAUUGGACGAGGCGCGUCCACCCUGGGGAGGGCCAUCAUUUUAUUCAGUCUACUGAUGCAAAUGCUUAUCUCUUCUGGAAACACCUUCACAGACAGACCCAGAAUAUAGUUGAACCAAAUACUGGGCACCUCAUGGCUCCAACAGGUUGACACAAAAAAUGAACCAUUGCAGAAAACGAAGAACAGUCACCAACUCCCACCCAUGCAGCUGGCUCAUUUGCUGGGCUGCCCUCCCCAGCAGGUGGCACAGGAAUCCCUGCCUUGGCAGGGAGGAGGCCUGGGGUGUGUGCAGGUACCCAUGGGAAGUUUCUUUGCCAUGGGGAAAGCCAGAGUCACCCCUUGCUUGAACACAAGAGUUGGAGGUUUCAGUGAGCUGAGAUUACGCUAUUGCACUCCAGCCUGGGCGGCAGAGUGAGACUCUGUCUCUAGAUAAAUAAAUUAAAUAAAUAAAUAAAUAUAAUUUAAUAUAAA